rnacentral:rRNA from 1 species
CGCCUGCCCUGUGACGAAAGUUCAACGGCCGCGGUAUUUUGACCGUGCGAAGGUAGCGUAAUCACUUGUCUCUUAAAUGGAGACCUGUAUGAAUGGCAUAACGAGGGCUAGACUGUCUCCUCUCCCCCGUCAAUGAAAUUGAUCUUCCCGUGCAGAAGCGGGAAUACCAACAUAAGACGAGAAGACCCUAUGGAGCUUUAGACCUCGCAGCAGACCACGUUAAAACUCUUGAACCACCAAGACUAAACAAAGUGGCCCCCCGCUGCGAGUCUUUGGUUGGGGCGACCGCGGGGAAAAGACCAGCCCCCGCGUGGUACGGACCAAAUCCCUAAAGCCAGACCCGCAGCUCUAGCAAGCAGAACAUCUGACCUUCAAGAUCCGGCAUUGCCGAUUAACGGACCAAGUUACCCUAGGGAUAACAGCGCAAUCCUCUUUAAGAGCUCAUAUCGACAAGAGGGUUUACGACCUCGAUGUUGGAUCAGGACAACCUAAUGGUGCAGCCGCUAUUAAG